rnacentral:rRNA from 1 species
CCUACGGGCGGCAGCAGUGGGGAAUAUUGGGCAAUGGGCGAAAGCCUGACCCAGCAACGCCGCGUGAAGGAAGAAGGCUUUCGGGUUGUAAACUUCUUUUGACAGGGAAGAGCAGAAGACGGUACCUGUCGAAUAAGCCACGGCUAACUAUGUGCCAGCAGCCGCGGUAAUACGUAGGUGGCAAGCGUUGUCCGGAUUUACUGGGGGUAAAGGGCGUGUAGCCGGGCUGACAAGUCAGAUGUGAAAUCCGGGGGCUCAACCCCCGAACUGCAUUUGAAACUGUUGGUCUUGAGUAUCGGAGAGGCAGGCGGAAUUCCUAGUGUAGCGGUGAAAUGCGUAGAUAUUAGGAGGAACACCAGUGGCGAAGGCGGCCUGCUGGACGACAACUGACGGUGAGGCGCGAAAGCGUGGGGAGCAAACAGGAUUAGAUACCCGUGUAGUC